GGAAUUAUUGACAAUGGGGGAAACCCUGAUCAUGCAACGCCGCGUGGAUGAUGAAGUACCUCGGUACGUACAAUCCUUUCGACAGGGACGAAACUCUUCGGAGCUGACCGUACCUGUAGAAGAAGCCCCUGCUACCUCCGUGCCAGCAGCCGCGGUAAUACGGGGGGGGCAAGCGUUGUUCGGAUUUACUGGGCGUAAAGGGCGCGUAGGCGGUUUGCUAAGUCGGAUGUGAAAACUGGGGGCUCAACCCUCAGCCUGCAUCCGAUACUGGCAGACUAGAGUGCGAGAGGGGAAGGCGGAAUUCUUGGUGUAGCGGUGAAAUGCGUAGAUAUCAGGAGGAACACCGGUGGCGAAGGCGGCCUUCUGGACCGCAACUGACGCUGAGGCGCGAAAGCUAGGGGAGCAAAC
rnacentral:rRNA from 1 species